rnacentral:rRNA from 1 species
GAUGAACGCUGGCGGCGUGCCUAAUACAUGCAAGUCGAGCGAACGGACGAGAAGCUUGCUUCACUGAUGUUAGCGGCGGACGGGUGAGUAACACGUGGAUAACCUACCUAUAAGACUGGGAUAACUUCGGGAAACCGGAGCUAAUACCGGAUAAUAUUUUGACCCGCAUGGUUCAAAAGUGAAAGACGGUCUUGCUGUCACUUAUAGAUGGAUCCGCGCUGCAUUAGCUAGUUGGUAAGGUAACGGCUUACCAAGGCAACGAUGCAUAGCCGACCUGAGAGGGUGAUCGGCCACACUGGAACUGAGACACGGUCCAGACUCCUACGGGAGGCAGCAGUAGGGAAUCUUCCGCAAUGGGCGAAAGCCUGACGGAGCAACGCCGCGUGAGUGAUGAAGGUCUUCGGAUCUUAAAACUCUGUUAUUAGGGAAGAACAUAUGUGUAAGUAACUGUGCACAUCUUGACGGUACCUAAUCAGAAAGCCACGGCUAACUACGUG